rnacentral:lncRNA from 1 species
AUUAGACCUUUCUAAAGAUACCAUAUUUAUAAAAAUCGGUACAGUAGUUAAACCGAAAAAGGGACAUCCAGCCAGACAGUCACGUUUAACUAAUAAUAUAUAUGAUUAGCAUUAUUUGCAAUUGUAAACUAAAAAAUAACAUUCUAAAAAUUUUUGUAAUUUUGAUAUUUUAUUAUUAUAAUUUCCAUUUCUGGAAGUAUAAAUCUGGAUUAUCCUCUAUCAUAUGCAUUGUAAAAGAUAAUUCAUUCAUUGUGUUACAAGCUCUUUUCAUGAUAACUAGUCUUAAAAAAGUAUUACAAAAAC